AGAGGCUGAGGAGAUGGCCCUCAGCCAACAGAGUAUGCGUCCUGUGGCUGAGGGCAUCCCUGGGGGGAGCUCCUCUGAUCCCCCCCACCCCCCAGGAUAGAAGUGCCUUUACAGUAUAAGAGUUACUGAUGGCGUCAUCGCCCUACUUGAACCAGAUGCCCUCACCAACCUCCAUGCAAUUGUAACAAUUCAAAAGAUGCAAAAGGAUGCUUUGGAGAUCCAAAUUUUGGAACAUAAGUUAUAGG